AAUAUUAAUAGAGCCAAUGUGUGGGAUGGAGCAAUCCGCGGCUUCAAAGGGGCCUCAUUCGACCCCUCUCAUCAGAUGCAGGUUAAGUUUACUGAUGAUGAGGGACAAACUGAGGAUGGAGUGGACACUGGUGGUCCCAAGCGUGAGUUCCUGACCCUCCUAAUGGAAUGCCUGAGAAUGAGAAGAAUAUUUGAUGGUCCACAGGACAGGAAAUUCCUCAAGUUCGACAAUGCAGCUGCAAAAGAUGACGAAUACUUUCAUGCUGGGAGGAUGAUUGCAACUUCUAUAGUUCAAAAACACAAGGAGAAAAAGAAGAAAACAUGUCAUGGCUCACUGUCUUAAAAUCUGAUUCUAAAUGUAUAAUGUUCUUUAUAAAGAUAUAACUAAUACACAAUUAUGAAUGUAUAAUA